CGCCCCGUCCACCCCCGCCCCCGCAGGGGGUACCUCUGGCCCCGCCCACGCGCCGGCUGCCGUCUUUCUAUUGGCUGUGCCGCGCCAUCGCCGUAGGGCCAUUGGUCAGUCCAGAAGCCAAUCAGCGGCUGACGACUUAUAAACAGCGGGGCUGGCGGGGGGGAGCUGCUUCUUGACACGCGGCGCCGGCAGGUAAGCGCAUGCGCGGGCGGUGUGCUGUGGGGGGCUGAGCCGGUAACGGCUCCUCCCUCCCGUGAGGGUGCCGUUGGCGUGUGUGACUUGCCUGUUGAGGGUUCGCACCCGGCUGUGUCUUCCAAGAGUCCGGGCAACGGACUGCUGAGCUCUCUCUGUUCUUCCCCAGCUCUCUGGCAAAGCUGCAAGUGUUGGUGCAGUUCAGAAGCUGCUGCUGCUGACAGGGAUGACACAACUAGGGUUAUGUACAGAUGA
rnacentral:lncRNA from 1 species